UUUUUUCGCUGUGUGCAUCCGUAGUGCCAUUAGGGUGGUGCGUUGUUGCAGAAGCUGGGUGUAAUUGAUAUCUUUUUGAUAUUAAAAAUAUGCAGGCCAUCUAUUGUAGUUCACCGAAGCUGUCUACAAAGAUAGUAGCAGGGACGAGAGCGUGACAAAGGCUGCGGUUGCUGUCCUGGGGGAUCUUGCAGACACACUUGGCCCCAUCUCCAAGGAUCUGUUCAAGAGCCACCUCUUCCAUGUUGAGUUCUUGAGGGAGUGCCAAGAUAUGGACGACGAAGUCAGGGAUACGGCGUCGUGGACCCAGGGAAUGAUAAACCAGGCAAUAGUUUCUUAGUAUGAGAAAUUAUCUUGCUUUGUCUGCUAUGGCGGAUGUUCUGUUUUGUUGCUGCGCCAAUGCCCGUUUGGCGCAGAUGAACGGAAGGAUACCAAAGUAUAUGUAGCGUCAGUGGUAGGAACCUUGUUGUAGGAGUCUCCUGUGUUGUUUAUCUUGAGUCUGUCAAGUCGUUAUGCGUCACAUUUUCAGUGUGUCAAGUCGGUAUGCGUCACAUUUGAUGGCAGUGGGUUAUGGGGGUUAUGGCAUUGGACGUCUUGAACAGCUAAAUUUGUUGAUGUAUUCUUCUACUCUGUGUUCAUCCAUGC